UGUGAGUGAUGAAGGUUUUCGGAUCGUAAAGCUCUGUCGGGUGGGAAGAAUAAAGGCUGUGUAAAUAAUGCAGUCUGAUGACGGUACCACCAAAGGAAGCACCGGCUAACUCCGUGCCAGCAGCCGCGGUAAUACGGAGGGUGCAAGCGUUGUUCGGAAUUAUUGGGCGUAAAGGGCGUGUAGGCGGGUAUGUAGGUCAGGUGUGAAAGCCCUCGGCUCAACCGAGGAAGUGCAUUUGAAACCACAUAUCUUGAGUACGUGAGAGGCAGAUGGAAUUCCCAGUGUAGAGGUGAAAUUCAUAGAUAUUGGGAAGAACACCGGUGGCGAAAGCGGUCUGCUGGCACGAUACUGACGCUGAGACGCGAAAGCGUGGGAAGCAAACAGGAUUAGAUACCCUGGUAGUCCACGCCGUAAACGAUGUGCACUAGGUGUUGGGGGUAAUUAAACCUUCAGUGCCGCAGCUAACGCAUUAA
rnacentral:rRNA from 1 species